rnacentral:ncRNA from 2 species
GACGGAGGGGGCUAGCGUUGUUCGGAAUGACUGGGCGUAAAGGGCGCGUAGGCGGUUUUUUAAGUGAGGCGUGAAAGCCCUGGGCUUAACCCAGGAGGUGCGUUUCAGACUGGAAGACUUGAGUGCGAGAGAGGAAAGUGGAAUUUCUAGUGUAGAGGUGAAAUUCGUAGAUAUUAGAAAGAACACCCGUGGCGAAGGCGGCUUUCUGGCUCGCAACUGACGCUGAGGCGCGAAAGCGUGGGGAGCAAACAGG